rnacentral:lncRNA from 1 species
CAUGAAGACAUUGAUUUGAGAAGUUGAAUAUGUGGUGAAGUGGACUUGCACAUGAAUUUCUAGCACUUAUCUGAUAAUUAUGUACAAAGUGCUAGAGGUGUGCCAAGGAGAGGGUCUUGAAUCCUGACUGUAAGCUUUGUAGAAGAAGUGACAUAUUUUCGCAGGUUCUAAAGGGUAGAACUUGUGCAAACAGAAAACAAAACACCAAGGAAGAGUGAGUGCAUGUGAAGGAACAGACACAAGGUCAGAAGGAACUUCAAGAACCAUCAGAGCAGCAGCCCAUGAAUUCACCUGAGAAGGGCCGAGUCUUCCUGCAAAUCAGCUGAGGAAUGAGAUGCCACUGGAUUUAGAUGAGGAGCUCCUUGGAGACAGAGACUCACUCCCUGCUUGUCCAGGACCAGUUUAUCAACACAAAAUUAAUUGUCUCUACACCUGUUCAUUUCAUGGGGAGACUGAAAAUAAGAAGAUAAUCUCUGUAGACUUCCAAAGGGAACUGUGCCUUCAUCAUUCCAUAUGACCCUGACGGCUGUGCCCUCCUCAGCCAGUGAGAGAACCUGUGACUCCUGGAAAUAAACUUGGCAAGUAAAUGAUGAGAAUACA